AUGGAUCAAAACAUCUUCCAAAGAUUCUAUGUUUGUUUCAAUGCAAUGAAAAAAGGGUUUAAAGCAUGCAGAAGGGUUAUUGGGCUUGAUGGUUGUUUCUUCAAAGGAGCUUGUCAAGGUGAACUUCUUUGUGCUAUUGGUAGGGAUGCUAACAACCAAAUGUACCCAAUUGCUUGGGCAAUAGUGGAGCAAGAAACUACAAAAAGUUGGGAGUGGUUUAUUGGCCUUCUGAUCAAAGACUUGGACAUAAAUGAUCAAGGUGAAGGCUGGGUGUUCAUUUCAGAUCAACAGAAGGGCUUGAUCAGUAGCAUGCAGGAUUUUCUGCCAAAAGCACAACAUAGGAUGUGUGCUAGACACAUCUAUGCUAACUGGAGGAAGAAGUACAGGGAGCAUGCUUUACAGAAGAAGUUCUGGUCUAUUGCAAAGGCUGCAAAUAGAGAAGAUUUCAUGUACAGAAAAGCAAAGUUGGCUCAAGACACACCUGAAGGAGCAAGAGACAUAAUGAGAACAGAGCCUAAGCACUGGGCCAGAGCUUUUUUCCCUGUGGGUUCACUAUGUGACUCAGUGGACAAUAACUUAUGUGAGUCCUUCAACAAUUCAAUCAUUGAGGCCAGAUUCUAUCCUUGCAUAUCCAUGCUGGAAAAGGUUAGACAAAAAAUGACAAAGAGAGUUCAAGAAAACAGAGAGAAAUCUGAUAAAGUGGACUAA
rnacentral:rRNA from 1 species